GCCGGGUUAGCUCAGUUGGCAGAGCGCCUCUCUUGUAAAGAGGAAGUCGUCGGUUCGACCCCGUCACCCGGCU
rnacentral:tRNA from 1 species